CUCACCUCUCCCCGGCCCUCCGGGGGCUAAAGCAAAAGCGAAAGCGAAUGCGCCUCGCGGGGCGGCCGGUCCCGGGAGCGGCGCCCGCCACCGCGUCCGCGGCGCUCGCGCAUCUGCGCGGGGCCGAUGGGGCGGACGGGGCGGACGGGGCGGAUGGGGCGGAUGGUGCCGCCGCUCCGGGGCCGCCGGCUCCCCGCGCUCCCCGCGCUGCUGCUGCUGCUGCUGCUGCUGGUGCUGCCGCCGCUCCGGCCCGCGACGCCGGGCAUCACAUGCCCUCCUCCCACAUCUGUCGAACACGCAGAUAUCCAGGUCAAGAGUUACAGCGUGAGCUCCAAGGAACGGUACUCUUGUAACUCUGGCUUCAAGCGGAAAGCCGGGACAUCCAGCCUGACUGAGUGUGUGCUCAACAAGACCACCAACACUGCCCACUGGACAAUCCCCAGUCUCAAGUGCAUCAGAGACCCCUCCCUGACUCACCUAAGGCCAUCCUCCACAGACGUGCCAGCAGGGGUGACCCCAGAGCCAGAGAGCACCUCCCUUUCUGGAAAAGAGCCAACUUUCACUUCCAAGUCAGACACCAAAGUGGCCACAAAGCCAACUAUUGUGCCAGGCUCCAGGCCGAUGCCGUCAAAGCCUCCUGCUACAGGAACCACAGGGCUGAUCAGUAAUGAACCCUCCUCCCAAGCCCCAUCUCAGACAACAGCAAAGGCCUUGGAACACACUCCCUCUGCCUCCCAGGAGACGCCAGGUACAUAUUCAUACAAUUCCGGAGCUGUGACUGCGGCGAUCUUCACACCUGUCACUGUGCUCUGUGUAGUGUGUGUGGUAUUUCUUCUGGUAUGUUACAAAAAAAUGAGUCACACAGAGAGAGAGAGAGAGAGGCAGAGACACAGGCAGAGGGAGAAGCAGGCUCCAUGCACCGAGAGCCCGACGUGGGAUUCGAUCCAGGGUCUCCAGGAUCGUGCCCUGGGCCAAAGGCAGGCGCCAAACCGCUGCGCCACCCAGGGAUCCCUGGAGUUACAUUCUUAAGAGAUUAUAAUGAUUGUACUCAUUGGCUUAAAAAAUGUACACAAUCUUUUUUAAGAAUAACACAUUAAAAAAAGAAUCUAACAAGAAUUUGUAAAUUUGGUAUAUAUGGCCAAUAAACUUGCUGGUAAGAUGAAAAUAUCAAUAUUCACUGACUAUAGUAAAGAAAUAUUGAUAAAUUGGGGCGCCUGGGUGGCUCUGUGGUCAAGCAUCUGCCUUUGGCUCAGGUUAUGAUCCCAGGGCCCUGGGAUCAAGUCCCACAUUGGGCUCCCUGCAGGGAACCUGCUUCUCCCUCUGCCUAUGUCUCUGCCUCUCCUUCUGUGUCUCUCAUAAAUAAAUAAAUAAAAUCUUUAAAAAAAAAAGAAACAUUGAUAAAUUAUAUCUUUAAGAAUUGGUAAGCCUGAAAAGCAUUACUACUUGGUACAUUCUGUGAAGCAAUUCUUUGCUGUAUACUUAUUUUUUUUACAAAUGGGUUAUUAGGUAGAUUUGUCAUUCAACAAAUUGGCUUUCAGCAGAUUAUCUUCAGUACAUUGGCCUAGAGCCCUGAUUUACAGUUUAGCACUCACUCCAAGGAGCUCAAAGUGCUUAUGUACCGGAUAAUUGAAGUGGGGAUGAUAUACAAUAUCCUAUUAGUUUCAGGUGUGCAUUAUAUGAAUUCAGCAUUUUUAUGCAUUAUGAGAUGAUCCCCAUAAGUCUAAUUACUAUCUGACAACCAAAUGAAGUUACUACAAUAUGAUUGACUGUAUUCCCUGUGCCGUACAUCACAUCCCUGUGACUUAUUUAUCUUGCAACUGGAAGACUGUACCUCUUAAUCCCCUUCCCCUAUCUCACCUGCCCCUCACCUGCCCCUCAGCCCCUCCCCUCUAGCAACCAUGUUUGUUCUCUGUAUCUACAAGUCUGUUUUAUUUUUGUUUUUUAUAUUCCGUAAAUGAGUGAAAUUGUAUAGUAUUUGUCUUUCUCUGUCUUAUUUCACUUAGCAUAAUACCCUCUGAGUCCAUUCACACUGUCACAAAAGACAAGAUCUCCAUUAUUUUGGUGGAGAAAUACUCCAUUGUGUAUAUACACACCACAUCCUUUUUAUCCAUUCAUCUGUAGAUGGACACUUAGUUGCUUCCAUAUCUUGGUGGGUGUAGAUAACACCACAGUGGACAUGGGGUGCAGAUAUCACUUCAAAUUGGUGGUUUUGUUUUCUUUGGAUUCAAAGUGUUACUUUGAAAUGUCCUAAAGACUUGCCUCUCCUCAAGAGGUAGAUGCUAUAAUCCGUGGAGGAAACUGCUGACCCAGACACUGCUGACCCAGGCCCUAAAAACAUAAGUCCUUCAAUGACGGGGAAACAUGUGGAAUUAACAUAUUCUGCUUCUCCCCACUCUUCAUUACUCAGGAAUCGAUUCAUAUACGUUUCUUGAAACACAUACCAAGUACCAAGAACUGUCUGAAAAGGUUGAUGAAGGUGACAUCAUUUUUGCCAAGAUGAUCACAUGUGGCUUAGCUGGGCUCCUGGGUACUCUCUCCCUUUUGUUCCUGCCCUUUGAACUACUGCUUCUUAGCAGAGGAUUGGAGAAGAUGGGGCAAACUUCGCAGACACCCCAGGUUGAAAUGGAAAGCAUGGAAGAGGUGCCAAUGACGAGGGGAGCCAAUGGCAAAGAAGACACUGCAGAAAACUACCCGCACAACCUAGAAGACUCCAGGGGG